AUCCAGCUGACGAGUCCCAAAUAGAACGAAACGCACGCUCUGUAU
rnacentral:hammerhead_ribozyme from 1 species